AUGUUCUUCUUCUGUGUGACAGAAUCUGCUUGUCUUGUCUCAGAAACGCUUCAUCUUAGACGUCGGCACGAUGCUGUCCGUCCAGGUAGUCCUGCUGGCGACCCUCGUCUAUUUGGUUUCAUCACUUCCUGUCAGGUAAACCAAACUCAACAUCAAAGUUCGGGUCUUCUGAUCAGUUUUGGAAUAAAAGGUUUUUUUUUUUUUAAUGUCCUCAGAGAUGAAGAUGAGGUGGGAAGUUUCCUGUCUCGCGUCAGACACAUGGACGCCCCAUUUUUGGACCCUCUUGAUGCUCUUCUGGAGGCCAGACUCAGGCAGCUGCUUUCUGCUGGUCCAGACCGCAGGAGGCAGCUGGGAGACCUGGAGUUCUCCAACAGAUAUGCAGAGUUCCUGCGCUCCAGGGCCAAACACAGCUCCCUCUGUGCCUUCCUGCAGCGCAUGCAAGGCUUCAAGAAGAGUGGGGCGGGGGGCAACACGGAGAGGGUGAACCUGCUGCUGAAACAGUACAUGUGUCCAUCUGACUGGCCGAGCGACCUGUGAGACGCUCUGCAGAGAUUAACGAAGACAACAAGAAGUUCCCAUCAUGUCAAAUGUUGAGAGGUUUUAUUAAAUUAUGUUUUAGGGGGACCUCCGGGUCUUUAGUUGUUCUCCCUUUUUACCUGUGGAGAAGCUCAUGCCACACACCUCCAGGUGGAUCAGUGAGAUAUUACACUUAAAACCAAGAUACAAAAAUAUUGUUUCGUAUUUAGAAUGUACAGACCUCACAUAUUGGGGAGCACAUUGUAUGGUGGUCAGAAGAAUUCACAAUGAUGUUGGUUGAUUUGGUGUUACUGUUACAUUUAAUCAGUUUUGAUCAUUUAAUAUCUGUACACCAGCAUAAUUACAUGACUUGAUAUCAGCUUUUCCAUUCUUUAGUCAGAGAUUUUACAAGAAUGUGCUAUUUCCUGUUUAGAAAAGAAUUACAGCCACUUCACUUUAUUCAGCAUAUCUCCAUAAAGUAUCUGGACAAAAUGACGUCAGCAUAUUAAAGACCUUUAUUGCAGCUGCUGCUUUCUGC
ensembl:lncRNA